rnacentral:tRNA from 1 species
GACGGUUUGGCCGAGUGGUCUAAGGCGUCAGAUUUAGGCUCUGGUCCGAAAGGGCGUGGGUUCAAACCCCACAGCCGUCA